rnacentral:misc_RNA from 1 species
AGAAGGAUAUGUUGAAGAAUCAGAUGAAUGUGUUUGAUUUAAUUAGUUAUGCCAGCAAUAAAGGAAUAUCAUCUAUUAGUUUUAGGAAAUAUAUCAACAGCUUCAUUAAGUAGAUUGGAUCUUUUGGAGAAGUUAAUGCCUAGAUAUAAUCUUGUUUUAAUUUAACAUUUAGAAGUGUUAGUUUGUUCUUUUAUAUUUAGAGGCAGUUU